rnacentral:rRNA from 1 species
AGAGUUUGAUCCUGGCUCAGAACGAACGCUGGCGGUAUGCUUAACACAUGCAAGUCGAACGAGAAAACCACUUCGGUGGCAAGUAAAGUGGCGCACGGGUGAGUAACGCGUAGAUAAUCUACCCUUUAGUCUGGGACAACUUUCCGAAAGGAGAGCUAAUACUGGAUAACACCUCUGGUCUAGUGACCUAAGGUUAAAAGAUUUAUUGCUAAAGGAUGAGUCUGCGUACCAUUAGCUUGUUGGUGGGGUAAUGGCCUACCAAGGCUUCGAUGGUUAGCGGGUCUGAGAGGAUGAUCCGCCACACUGGAACUGAGACACGGUCCAGACUCCUACGGGAGGCAGCAGUGGGGAAUUUUGCGCAAUGGGCGAAAGCCUGACGCAGCAAUACCGCGUGAGUGAAGAAGGCCUUUGGGUCGUAAAGCUCUUUUCUGAAGGAAGAUAGUGACGGUACUUCAGGAAUAAGCACCGGCUAACUCCGUGCCAGCAGCCGCGGUAAUACGGAGGGUGCAAGCGUUGUUCGGAUUUACUGGGCGUAAAGGGCACGUAGGCGGCAUAGCAAGUUAAGGGUGAAAUCCCGGGGCUCAACUCCGGAACUGCUCUUAAAACUGCUAAGCUAGAGAUGGUCAGAGGCGGGUGGAAUUCCAGGUGUAGAGGUGAAAUUCGUAGAUAUCUGGAGGAACACCGGUGGCGAAGGCGGCCCGCUGGGGCCAUUCUGACGCUGAGGUGCGAAAGCGUGGGGAGCGAACGGGAUUAGAUACCCCGGUAGUCCACGCCGUAAACGAUGAAUACCGGCUGUUUGGGAAAUCGACCUCUCAAGUGGCGCAGCUAACGCGUUGAGUAUUCCGCCUGGGGAGUACGGUCGCAAGACUAAAACUCAAAGGAAUUGACGGGGGCCCG